UGAUCGAUCGUUCACCGAACAUUGACCCCCCCCUCCCUAAAUAUAUCAUAACGCAUUUCUGUUUGGUACCAUAUUCAGAACAGAAAGCUAAUAUACAAUGUGUAAAGAACAAAAAUUUCGAAUGGGUAAUUGAAGCUAACUAUAAAUCUUAGUUAAUUAAACUUUUCUUCUUAAUUUUACUAAAUAUACAACUAUAGUUGAACUAAGAAGACAGUGCCACGAUUAAGCAUAUUAAUUAAGAGCGCAUGCGUCCACGUGGAUCACCAUGGUUACGUUCGUAUUAUGUACAUCGAGCGGUUAUUUUAAAUAUCAUAAAAAAUUAAAUAAAACAUAGAAUUUUCACUUACUUGGCAGACGAUGAACUCGAAAUAAGAAAAAUAUUUCUGACAAUGAAAUAUGUCGCCAUGAUCGUUAAAUCGGUGAAAGUACUUCACAUAGCCGCUAUUCACGACAAAUUUUUCAUAAAAUCCAAAUUUUUUCCUACGAUAGCAACUCUUCCAUAAACAAUCUGAUAAUAAAAUUUCUCCGUAAUAAUUUUGGAAGUUAUAAACGGUAUCUUCCGAUUCGUAUGGACGGACAAUGUCGGUUAAACUUGGGACUAUCUUGCUCAAAACUGACAUGAUACGAACAAUGACAACUUGUGAUCACUGCUUUAUUUUCACCCAUUUUAUUAACGUACAUCUAUGAUAUCGUUACGAAAUAUUUCAUCAAUGGGUGAAAAAAUUAUGUGUUGAAGAAUUAAAAUAAAUUAUAAAUUUUGAGUACAAAUUUCACGCUAUCGUACACUAUAGUAUUAUUAGUCAUAUAGUUUGAUAUGAAGUAAUUAAAACAAUAAAAUUAUCGAUUAAUUACGCAUAAUUUAAAGUAGCGCGUACUUCACAAUUUAUUUGCACAUAAAAUAAAAAUUUGUUAAAAUAUAUGACGCUCGUUUAAUUUUUUACAAACGUUUUUUUUUAAUCUUUGUAUAUAAAAAUGAAUAUUUUGAUUCAUUUAUUUUACACAUGUUAUUAAAUGUUUAUAUAAUAAGAUUGCUAUUAUGAGACAAAAUUUUAAAAUUGCAGAAAACUUUAAAUUUUUAAGUCGUUCAUUAAAAAAUAUACAUCAAAAUUUAUCAAUUAAUUGCAAUAUGUGUUGUUGUUCUGCUUCUCUCCAUUCUGAAUCUCCAGCAUCGCCAAGAUUUCCUGCAUAUUCUAAUAAAAAUAAUAAAAUUAAACAUAUGUAAUAGUUAUAAAUUAUGAUGAAAGAACGUACCUCGCAUAAUGUGUCUUAUUGUUUUGAGGGAUGCCCUUCUUUGAGCUAAAAUUCGUGUAACUCGUUGUUUUACUGCUGGUGGACAACCAGUACAUGCUUCUAAUAAAACAUAGUCUACCAAUUGUAAAAUAAAUAAUCCACUAUCCAAUCUUCUUAAGUAUGAUUCUUCUUCAUCUUCAUCUUCCUAUAAUUGUAAUAUACUUAAACAUAUUGUAAUUAAUAUAUUUAUACUUUAUUUUAAAGUAAAACAUAUAUAAAAAUUUAUAUUUUCUUUUUCUAA